UCUAUUAAGGUGUAUACGCACAUAAAAAUUUGAUUUUUAAAGAGAUAAUUUAUCUAAUAGAA
rnacentral:tRNA from 1 species